GACGAACGCUGGCGGCGUGCUUAACACAUGCAAGUCGAACGGCAACGCCCUGCUUUUGUGGGGUGCUCGAGUGGCGAACGGGUGAGUAACACGUGAGUAACCUGCCCUUGAUUUUGGGAUAACUUCCGGAAACUGGGGUUAAUCCCCGAUAGGACCUCCUGUUCCAUGGUGGGGGUUGGAAAGUUUCGGCUGUCGGGGUUGGACUCGCGGCUUAUCAGCUUGUUGGGGGGGUAGUGGUUUACCAAGGCUUGGACGGGUCGCCGGCAUGGGAGCGUGGACGGCGACCUUGGGCCUGAGAGAGGCCGCAGUCUGCAAUGGUGGGCAGCGGGGGGAAGUAUUGUACAACGAGCCCGAGCGUGAUACGGCAGCGCCGGGUGCGGAAUGACCGUCUGCGGGUAGAGAAACGCUUUCGCCUGUGACGAAGCGGGAGUGACGGUAAUGGGUAAAGAAGCACCGGCUAACUACGUG
rnacentral:rRNA from 1 species